UCCUCUUAUGCAUCUACACACACACUAAGUUACAAUUUAAUUAAGAAAAAAGAAUUAUAAUCAAAAUAAUAAAAAAAGAAAAAGAAUAAGGAGAGUAAAGUGUCAUCUUCAAAAAGCAAUGGCUUCUCAAAGAGAGAGAACAUAGUUGAGAUAUAAGACAAGAUAUUGGAUAUUUUUUCUCAUCCAUGUACCGGCAAGACUCUUUAGUCUUUAGUCGACCAUGCUUUAUUGCUGUAGAGAGAAACUGGAUUGUAUGAUCACACGGUGGUGGGUGCUAUAUGACUUGGUACUUUUGCGGAGAAAAGGCUAGGAAAACAAGCGCCGCCAUGAUCAAGACUGGAACUAAAAGAAGUAAAAGUGGCGGUGGUGGCAAGGGUGGCAAAACAAGUGGCAGCACCAGAAGGAAAACAGUUACCACUACCAUGGCCAUGAUUGAUACCAGCCUAAAAUAUUUGAACAUGAAAUUCACCGGUAGGCGCUGAUCAUCUCUCCAAGAAUAUAUACCACGUACCUAGAUGUUGAAGAUCGAACAUGCUUGCCUUGACAUCUCUCUCCACCUUUCUUGUAAAUGUAUUUUCUAGGAGGAGAGGAGAUAGAAAACAAGAAUAAAAAUCUGGAAUGGAGAUUUCUUUUGGUAAAA
rnacentral:lncRNA from 1 species